AAGAUGAGGUCAAAGAAAUAAGACAGAAAGAGAGAGUAGGGAGGGGUGCACUAGGGAGGGUGGGGAUUGCAGGAGAGAGGGAACGGAAGGGUGAAAGAGAAUGCAGUGAAGGAGAAUUACCCUGCCAUCCAGACAUACUUCAGUGUCUCACCCCAACGCUAAAGCCUGGGUGUUACAAUGCUGAAAAUAUUCCCUGAAGCCUACCUCACCAUAUCUUCAGUCCAGUGACCUCCAGUGACCAGUCCUUGCCAAUAUACUUGGUCCAACUCCCAUCCAGAGUUUCCGAUCUAUCCUAGCCUGCCUUGCUCCUGCCUCCCACGAUGAUGUCAAUCAUAGGCGACCAUAUUUAAAGAUGAAGAGGAGAAGAGAGGAGGAGGAUGGUGGAAAUGGUUUUCACAUGGG
ensembl:lncRNA